GACGAACGCUGGCGGCGUGCCUAAUACAUGCAAGUCGAACGCUUUUUCUUUCACCGGAGCUUGCUCCACCGAAAGAAAAAGAGUGGCGAACGGGUGAGUAACACGUGGGUAACCUGCCCAUCAGAAGGGGAUAACACUUGGAAACAGGUGCUAAUACCGUAUAACACUAUUUUCCGCAUGGAAGAAAGUUGAAAGGCGCUUUUGCGUCACUGAUGGAUGGACCCGCGGUGCAUUAGCUAGUUGGCGAGGUAACGGCUCACCAAGUCAACGAUGCAUAGCCGACCUGAGAGGGUGAUCGGCCACACUGGGACUGAGACACGGCCCAGACUCCUACGGGAGGCAGCAGUAGGGAAUCUUCGGCAAUGGACGAAAGUCUGACCGAGCAACGCCGCGUGAGUGAAGAAGGUUUUCGGAUCGUAAAACUCUGCUGUUAGAGAAGAACAAGGAUGAGAGUAAAACGUUCAUCCCUUGACGGUAUCUAACCAGAAAGCCACGGCUAACUACGUGCCAGCAGCCGCCGUAA
rnacentral:rRNA from 1 species